rnacentral:rRNA from 1 species
UACGUAGGGGGCAAGCGUUGUCCGGAAUCAUUGGGCGUAAAGAGCGUGUAGGCGGCUUGGCAAGUCUGACGUGAAAUCCUGCGGCUUAACCGCAGACUGUCGUUGGAAACUGCCUCGCUAGAGUCCGGAAGAGGAGAGUGGAAUUCCUGGUGUAGCGGUGGAAUGCGCAGAUAUCAGGAAGAACACCCGUGGCGAAGGCGGCUCUCUGGGACGGUACUGACGCUGAGACGCGAAAGCGUGGGGAGCGAACAGG